rnacentral:tRNA from 1 species
CCCCCGCCUGGGCGAGGGCGACGACCUCGGCGUGCGGGCCGCCGGGCGGCGCGGUGGCGCCGACCCCGGCGACGGUCCCGUCGGCGGCGAGGAC